rnacentral:rRNA from 1 species
CACGUAGGCACCAAGCGUUGUCCGGAUUUAUUGGGCGUAAAGAGCUCGUAGGCGGUUCGGUAAGUCGGGUGUGAAAACUUUGGGCUUAACCCAAAGCCUGCAUCCGAUACUGCUGUGACUAGAGUUCGGUAGGGGAGCGGGGAAUUCCUAGUGUAGCGGUGAAAUGCGCAGAUAUUCGGAAGAACACCAGUGGCGAAGGCGACUUACUGGACACAUAUUGACGCUGAGGUGCGAAAGCGUGGGGAGCAAACAGG